rnacentral:rRNA from 1 species
UACAGAGGUCUCAAGCGUUGUUCGGAUUCAUUGGGCGUAAAGGGUGCGUAGGCGGCGCGGUAAGUCGGGUGUGAAAUCUCGGGGCUUAACUCCGAAACUGCAUUCGAUACUACCGUGCUUGAGGACUGGAGAGGAGACUGGAAUUUACGGUGUAGCGGUGAAAUGCGUAGAGAUGUGGAGGAACACCGAUGGCGAAGGCAGCCUCCUGGGCCAAUACUGACGCUCAUGCACGAAAGCGUGGGGAGCAAACAGG